GACGAACGCUGGCGGCGUGCUUAACACAUGCAAGUCGAACGGAAAGGCCCCUUUGGGGGUACUCGAGUGGCGAACGGGUGAGUAACACGUGAGUAACCUGCCCUUGACUUCGGGAUAACUUCAGGAAACUGGGGCUAAUACCGGAUAGGAAUCCUUGCUGCAUGGGGGGGGUUGGAAAGCUUCGGCGGUUUUGGAUGGACUGGCGGCUUAUCAGCUUGUUGGUGGGGUAGUGGCUUACCAAGGCUUUGACGGGUAGCCGGCCUGAGAGGGCGACCGGCCACACUGGGACUUAGAGGCGGCCCAGAUGCCUACGGGAGGCAGAAGUGGGGAAUAUUGCACAAUGGGCGGCAGCCUGAUGCAGCAACGCUGCGGGCGGGAUGACGGUCUUCUGGUUGUAAACCGCUUUCAGCAGGGGCGAAGCUUGUGGUGACGGUACCUGCAGAAGAAGCACCGGCUAACUACGUG
rnacentral:rRNA from 1 species